rnacentral:rRNA from 1 species
GGCUCAGAGUGAACGCUGGCGGCAGGCCUAACACAUGCAAGUCGAGCGGCAGCGCGUCCGACCACCCUCGGGUGGUCGGAUGGCGGCGAGCGGCGGACGGGUGAGGAAUGCAUCGGAAUCUGCCUCGUUGUGGGGGAUAACGUAGGGAAACUUACGCUAAUACCGCAUACGACCUACGGGUGAAAGUGGGGGACCUUCGGGCCUCACGCGAUGAGAUGAGCCGAUGCCGGAUUAGCUAGUUGGCGGGGUAAAGGCCCACCAAGGCGACGAUCCGUAGCUGGUCUGAGAGGAUGAUCAGCCACACUGGAACUGAGACACGGUCCAGACUCCUACGGGAGGCAGCAGUGGGGAAUAUUGGACAAUGGGGGCAACCCUGAUCCAGCCAUGCCGCGUGUGUGAAGAAGGCCUUCGGGUUGUAAAGCACUUUUGUUGGAGAAGAAACCGGCCGGGCUAAUACCCUGGUUGAAUGACGGUACCCAAAGAAUAAGCACCGGCUAACUUCGUG